rnacentral:rRNA from 1 species
UGGAGAGUUUGAUCCUGGCUCAGGACGAACGCUGGCGGCGUGCCUAAUACAUGCAAGUCGAGCGCAGGAAGCCGUCUGAACCCUUCGGGGGGACGACGGUGGAAUGAGCGGCGGACGGGUGAGUAACACGUAAAGAACCUGCCCAUAGGUCUGGGAUAACCACGAGAAAUCGGGGCUAAUACCGGAUGUGUCAUCGGACCGCAUGGUCCGCUGAUGAAAGGCGCUCCGGCGUCGCCCAUGGAUGGCUUUGCGGUGCAUUAGCUAGUUGGUGGGGUAACGGCCCACCAAGGCGACGAUGCAUAGCCGACCUGAGAGGGUGAUCGGCCACACUGGGACUGAGACACGGCCCAGACUCCUACGGGAGGCAGCAGUAGGGAAUCUUCCACAAUGGACGAAAGUUCUGAUGGAGCAACGCC